AAGGGAUGGUUAGGUAUUAGAGGAGCCAAUACUUUCCGAUUUAAUUUGUAACUUGUGAGUUUUUCAUUACACUGACAAUGAUAUUUGAUUUUAACUUAUAUGAUUUAAAUACUUUUUAGGCUGUAUCUCAUCAAAAUUGAGAGAACAAGACUACUCAGGAGUGCAUGCACACUCUCGACCAUGAGUACUCUAUGUCCAGUCAUGUGCAUAAAGAG
rnacentral:lncRNA from 1 species